rnacentral:rRNA from 1 species
UCGAACGAUGAAGAUUAUUAGACUUCUUCGGAAUGAAAAUAAUUGGAUUAGUGGCGGACGGGUGAGUAACACGUGAGUAACCUGCCUUACACAAGGGGAUAGCCGUUGGAAACGACGAAUAAUACCCUAUGAAACUAUCACUUCGCAUGAAGCGAUAGUCAAAGUGUUAGCGGUGUAAGAUGGACUUGCGUCUGAUUAGCUAGUUGGUGAGAAAAAAGCCCACCAAGGCAACGAUCAGUAGCCGGCUUGAGAGAGUGUACGGCCACAUUGGGACUGAGACACGGCCCAGACUCCUACGGGAGGCAGCAGUGGGGAAUUUUGCACAAUGGGGGAAACCCUGAUGCAGCGACGCCGCGUGAUUUAGAAGGCCUUCGGGUUGUAAAAAUCUUUUGUAUAGGAAGAAAAUGACAGUACUAUACGAAUAAGGUCCGGCUAAUUACGUGCCAGCAGCCGCGGUAAUACGUAAGGACCGAGCGUUGUCCGGAAUCAUUGGGCGUAAAGGGUACGUAGGCGGGUCAUUAAGUUAGAAGUCAAAGGCUAUAGCUCAACUAUAGUAAGCUUCUAAAACUGGAGACCUUGAGUAAUGGAAGGGAAAGUGGAAUUCCUAGUGUAGCGGUGGAAUGCGCAGAUAUUAGGAGGAAUACCGGUGGCGAAGGCGACUUUCUGGCCAUUAACUGACGCUGAGGUACGAAAGCGUGGGUAGCAAACAGGAUUAGAUACCCUGGUAGUCCACGCCGUAAACGAUGAGUGUUAGGUGUCUGGAGUAAAUCUGGGUGCCGCAGCUAACGCAUUAAACACUCCGCCUGGGGAGUACG